CCACAGCAGUCACCACUAGCUUCAA
rnacentral:miRNA from 1 species